rnacentral:SRP_RNA from 1 species
AGCCGGGGAGUUAGCGGUGCCCUGUACCUGCAAUCCGCUACAGCAGGGGUGAUGCCAAUCUGAGGCUUGUAUUUUGCAGAGCUGCCCUUUAUAAGCGGCGCUGACGUCUGGGUCUCACGCAACAGGAAUCCGUGAACCGUGUCAGGGCAGGAAUGCAGCAGCACUAAGCGGACGCUCCUGUGUGCCGUGAGGGCGCCUGGGCCGAGCUGGCUGUAAAGGUAACGUCUGUGAGUACAUUCCGAGGUGCGGCG